rnacentral:tRNA from 1 species
CAGGGAGACAACAAAAUGUAAAUAUUAAUUUUGUCACCUUAGGUCGAUCGGUAUCUCAGAUUCUUAUUAUUUAACAAUUUCAGUUUCUAAGUUUUUUCUAGGUCACACCCAUCACUUUUUCCUGGGCCAUUAGCUCAGGUGGUUAGAGCGCACCCCUGAUAAGGGUGAGGUCCCUGGUUCAAGUCCUGGAUGGCCCAUAUCUCUAUGUUGGGGGUAUAGCUCAGUUGGUAGAGCGCCUGCUUUGCAAGCAGGAUGUCAGCGGUUCGAGUCCGCUUACCUCCACUGAAUACCACCUCUUACAUAUAGUUGAAGUGGGAAAUUGUUUUGAGUCGUGUCCUAAUUUGCUCUGAGCGAAUCUAGCUUCCUAUUUUAUCCAAGAAAUAAGAUGCUGGACUCAUUGAAUUUUUUUUCAUUGUUUUCAGAGAACCUUGACAACUGCAUAGAUUAUUUUUAAAGACAAUAAGCAUCUUUAAUGAUGCGGAUUUAUUAUUUGUGCGAAUGCAUUAAAUAACAAUUCUAUUAAGCUGAUGCUUCAAUUAUUGAAGUUAUU